rnacentral:tRNA from 1 species
GGAAUUUAGCUCAGUGGUAGAGCGCUUGCCUAGCAAGUACAAGGCCCUGGGUUCGGUUCCCAGCUCCG